AUAACAGAAAAGUCAACUACCAAAUUAAGGGGUUAGGGUAUGAAGGGAGAAGGCUAUACCUCCUACUCUGUGAUGUUGUAAAAGGCCUUUGUCUUUGUUGUUGUAAGAGGGUCCAGCGAAAAAACGUGAUGAAGAAAGAUAGGUUGAUGGUUCCAACGAGAGGAACAAAGAUAGAUCAACGAGAAACCGCAUAGGAAGUUGGCAUCCUGGGAAGUAGAUCAAGCAGUAACUGAUAGAGGCUAAACUAGAAGAUGGAGUUAGUGGAGGUGCUAGAGUUCAAGAUCAUGUUAGUGGCAGUACCGAUUGGACAUGGUUUCACUCAUAGUUUUGAUGAUGAUGUGGAUGAAGAAGGCAGCGACUAUGGAGAUUUGCUAAUACUGACAGAGUCUGACAUGAUGAGGAAGGUGUUCCAAAAUGAGGAAGCAUUUACAAGAGAUAUGGUAAAUGUCAUGGGUUCGGUAUUCGUAAGGGUGACUCAGGAAAGGAUGAUGACGGAAAGGUCAUUAGUCAUUAGGAGGAGGGUUUUUUUCUUUCAACAGAGCAUGGCUGAAAUAGUACAAACAUUAUGAAAAGCUUGACAGGAAGAAGGAGCAUAGAUUGGAGAUGCACACAAACUGUGAGGCGAAACUGUUCAUCCUAUGAGAUGAGGUCAGUUAAAUUUGGAGGGUUACGAAAGCUAUAUUAGAUCACAACUAUGACUUAACUCCUACAGGGUUGGUUCACAUGAUUAGCAACUUCAAAAAAAUCAAUACUUCGGCUAAGGCACAGAUUGAUGGCAUGCAGGCACAUGGUCUUCCAACAUCGAAGAUCCUAGGUUAUAUGGUAGGUCAGACUGGGGGUUAUCUCUAAUGGGUUUCACCAAAAAGGAUGCAUAUAACUAUAUCAAGAAGACUAAAAGAGCGAAGAUUGUUGAUGAAGACCAUAAUGCCGCAAUAAUAUAUUUGGAAGAAAAAGCGGUUUUGGAUCCGAUGAGCAUAGCUAAGUAUAGUUUGAUGGAUGACAAUAUGUUAGCAAAUUUUUUUAGGAUUGAUGGUGGGAGCAGGGUUGAUUACCAACACUUUGGUGAUAUGCUUGCCUUCGAUUCGACUUACAAGAAAAAUAAAUAUAGGACACCUUUAAUAAUUUUUUCUCGUUCAAACAAUCAUAAGUAAACAAGUAUAUUUGCGUUUGGAUUGGUAUUGGACGAAAGGGUCAUAGAAGUGGUUGCUUGAAAAUUUGUUGGAGGUGAUAUUCAACAAGAAGCCAGCCAUGAUAAUAACGGAUGGCUGUGAUUCAAUGAGGGCAGCAAUCAAGAUAAUUUUUCUAGAAGACACAUCGGUUAUGUGCAUGGCAUGUGGAAAAGAACGUAAAGUCCAACAUGAAGGAUGAACUAUUAUGACAAGUUUCCACUAGGUGACUAUAUUUGAAUACGAAGAUAGAAGACUUUGAGGCAGAGUGGGAUGCAGCUAUCGAAGAAUAUGGAUUUCAUGAUAGUUUUUGGGUUAAGGAAACUUUUGACAAGUGGAGAAUGUGGGCAAACACAUACUUAAGAGACAAAUUUUGUGUGGGCUUCCAUACAACUUCUCGUUAUGAAGGAUUAAUGUGAAUGUCAAGAAGUUUCUGAAAUCAAGGCACAAUAUUUUAGAAAUUCCGGAGGCAGAGGUGGCACCAUCGGCGGAUCAGCCGCUGCCAACCAUGCUUGGGCCUCUCUAAAGACGUGAAAACCCUUAAACUCAGCAUCCUUAAAGGCAUGCACUUGUUUUUUACAGUUGUCCCAUGAACAAUAUUCAUUUCGCACCGCAUAAAAGUGAUACUUUCCAA